GAAAUAACCAAUAAAUUGCCAUGAAUUAAGAUUAAACUUAUGUACACAUACUCAAUUACUCGUUUACCUGUUUAUUGGGUAAAAUCAGAAGUUCUAUGAAUACUCAUUACUAUGAAGCAUGACCCACAGAUAGCAUAACAUGGAAGGUUUAGGGUGGUGGGAAGUUGCUGCGCUUUAUUUUCCAUUUUGUCAAAUGUUGAGGUUCAUUUGCCACUCAGGAUUAUGUGAUAUGAACAAAAGCUCCACAACUGCUGCUAAAUGGACCUUAGACCUUCUCAACUGACACAUUCAGGGUCCAGAGUAAAUGUAGAACCUCCAUUUUCAAACAAACAUGCAGAAAGAACCCUUUUCUAUGUCUAGAAUUCCAUUAUCAGCAGCUGUCUCGGCCGAUGCAGAUAAAGGGAGUAAGUUGACAUUGAAUGGAGAUGAAGAUAUGAAUGCUUUUGCUAAUGAAAAAAGCUGAAAUAUUCCAUAAAGUGGAGAACUGUCUACUCUACAUUUAAGCCUUUUUUUCUAAUGCCUUCACAUUGGCACACCCCUGUGUGACUCACUUGAUCCACAAUGAGUAAGGAAAUAACAAAUGCAAUAUCACGCAUUCCUUGGUUAGUUUGGGCAUGUCACAGAAAUAUGUUGCCUCGAGCCACGUCAAGUACAGGUGAGUCGAUGUGUUUCAAUAAUAACGAGAGAGAAAAUUGUUAUUAAACGUAGUGAGAAUAUCCACUGUAGCUCUGGUCCCUUUUUCCAACGUUUUACAUUUGCGGAGAUUUUGUUGAGAAAAGUAAUGGUGUGUUGCAUUCAAAUGCUAAAUGAGGUCAGAAUUCUUAUUUCAUUUGAUCAACGGCAGCAUGUUGGGGCUUGAUAUCUUACUAAAGGUUCUUUAUUGGGUGGGGCCUUUCUUGGGCUUCCUGCAUUCCCCUUACAGCCUCACAGGUUAAAAGGUUAGGCAGGGUAUUGAGUAACAUAAACUAAUGAUUAUUUUGUUCAUCAUUAUUAUUGUCCAAUCAAUUUAUUUGGGUAUUGAACUGUAGGAUGAACCACACAAGACAUUUAAAUACAACUCUGGACCCUAUGAAAUAAGGCAAUAACAAAAAGAAUGUUCUGAAAUUUUAAGAAUCAAUUGAAUAGAUUAAAUCAGCUGAGCUCUCUGAUCACAUAAUAAAUACAUGUACAAUGAUUCAUAUCAUGACUGAUGGAUUGGAUAUGGUCAUCGUUGCUGAAAUUAACUUUAUGUUUUGGGAUAGAAGGCACAGUUAAUAAGAAAUAUGCUGACAAUACUCCCAACUACACAUUUGAUUGACAUUAAAAUACAGCGCUUUAUGCAACAAACGGUGCGUUUACGCUUUUACAUGAUACAUCAUAUAAGUGAUAGAGAAAUGAAGUAUUAUUUACGUUAUACUUUAAGUGCCUUUCCCUGCAUAGUCUGGUCGUUAUGACAGAUGACGCCUCACGGAGUCACACAGAAAUUCUUUGACGCUGUCAAACAUCUGAUAGCUAUGAGCAACAAGGUAUUUGAAACGUUGAAUUGCAUUACAAGUCAGUGAUUCCAUAAUAAUGCAUUAGUUUUCCAAUAAACCGUAAGAAACAUUUGCCGUUGUCACUUUUAUUAUUUUAAACAACAAGAACAAGAACAAAACCCCCGUAGCGGCUGGUCCGUAGAGGCCACCUUCUUUUCCUGCACGUCCUCUGCGCACGUCUCCGCUGGGCUCGGGCCGUGCCCCAAAGACGCAGUUUAGCCAAUUACUGCUUAAAGUUAAUGAGUGACAUUAUAAUUUCAGACUCCUAAAGUACAUUGAGUUUUGCGCCAGCCUUUCCCUAAAAUUAAUUUUUUAAACUGUUCUGAUCUUGAAAAACCAACUGCAAAGACUUAAUUCAUUAAAUUUUUUCCUCUGUGUGGAUUGAUUGUGGUGAAAGUGACACUCUCCAGAAGAGGAAAAAAGAACCAAUGAAUCAGAAACCCAUUCAAUACUUAAAUCAAUUCUCCCAACUUGAGACCUUAGACAUCUGUCCAGGGGUCAACUCCAUCUGUACUCAAUCAAUUCAAUCACAAAACCUGUAUAAAAGGAUAAUUGAAAGUUACUGGGGGAAUCACCAGUAAAGAUAAUCGAUUGUCUCUAAGGCGUUUCAUCCCUUUCAUCCUUCAAAACGCUUUUGGAUCAAAGAUCCAACUUCGAUGUGGUUGUAACUAUUGUCUGGCAUUCAAGAAGAAGAAACCCACCAGCAUGGAAGCUUAAUAAAGAAACGUUUCCUUAAAUGUGAUUGUCUCGACUGGAGGUGGAUGUGUGUGUGUGUGUGUGUUCGCCUUUGACGUUCCUUCCCUGUGUGUAUCUAUGUGGCAAAUGUGUUUCAAAUUUAACCGGUUUGUCUCUAUUCUAGAUUCUGAGUGUUUUCAGGAUAUAUACCGGUUAAACCAAAACGUAACAAAGGUCGGGUGGGGUCACGCUUUGGAUUGAGCAUCGAGCGAUAGGAGCACAGCUGGUAAAAGCGAGUGGGUGGAUGGAUGCGUCGCUCGGCAUGGUACCCGAUGUGACAGCUGACUUAAUAAGGAAGGCCUUUUAUCCAGCAGACGAGCGGGUUUCUCUGCUGCUGAGGUCAAGCGGAGGGGGAGGGCGCAGCGGGGGGAUGGGCGGCGUGAGCUGCUGAGCAGUCCCCUUCACCUAAAGAUCAUUAAAGAUGAUUUCUAAAGUUAAUUACGUCAGCUUAAGACAAAUAUGGUGCCCGGUGGUGGAAUUGAAAUACAGCCAAUUAACCUUCAAAUUUCGCUACUUCCAGCUUUCUGUUCAACACUUGCUGACGCAAAACCCUAUUUUAAAACUGUAACGUGCACACGACUCUACUGCACGAAAGCUAAUUAGCUUCAUAGUAUCCAUCCAAUUUAUUCAUU
ensembl:lncRNA